AAAAAUACAAAAGAGGAGGAAAGAAAAAGAAGUUCAAUGGGCUUUUCAUCAGUCUGGCUUCAGGUCCAGUUUUGAGACCUGAAGAUCCUGAUGAAUUAAAUACAAAUGUAAAAACAUCAGUGCUGUUACUGGGGGAUUCUGAAAAGGUGAAGCUCCAUGUGGAGAGGAAUGUGGAAAUCCAGAAAUAUUCAGCCUGAAACCUUAUACCAGCAGCCAGCAAAAGUCUCGCAGCAGGAGCUGCACUGUACUUACAAUAUUCUAGAUGGAGCUGUACCAAGAAGAGGUGAAGAUUGACUUUUUAGGUCUGCUGGAACUACACGAAUGAGC